UCCUACGGGGCGCAGCAGUCGGGAAUAUUGGUCAAUGGUCGGGAGACUGAACCAGCCAAGCCGCGUGAGGGAUGAAGGUACAGAGUAUCGUAAACCUCUUUUGUCAGGGAACAAAGGCGGGGACGUGUCCCCGGAUGAGUGUACCUGAAGAAAAAGCAUCGGCUAACUCCGUGCCAGCAGCCGCGGUAAUACGGAGGAUGCGAGCGUUAUCCGGAUUUAUUGGGUUUAAAGGGUGCGCAGGCGGUCUGUUAAGUCAGCGGUCAAAGCCCGGGGCUCAACCCCGGCCCGCCGUUGAAACUGGCAGU
rnacentral:rRNA from 1 species